GGACUCUUUGCAAUUCAAGAGAUAUCUUCAUAUACACAUCAAGAGAUGUCUCUUCAUAUUGGAACUUAAAAAAGUGGCAGACAAAGUGCAAUAGAUGAGCAGAGAGGAGCAUAGAAGACUCGAAAGAAUAAGUGACCUUGGAUCUGGACCACAAAGAAAAGAUGUCCUCUGUUCCAGGUUUGUGGAGCAUUCCUAAGGGAUGAUUCUGCUCUGGUCCGCCACCAACCAAUC